GAAAGCUUGGUUCAUUUGUUUUAAAGCUCAUAGAGCAACUUUUGAGGAAAGAGAGAGGAGUUUUAAUACAUGUAAGUCAGGACUCUUAAGUAGCUAUGAUUCCACAGACUUGGACUCUCAGAAAAAAUGACAUGAAAAAGUUUUAGGAGUGGACGACGCUGAACAGUACUGCAAACUAUUUGCGGCAAGAACUAGUUUUUAUUUUAUGCAUCUUAGCACGAUGUAGAUUCCACUUGCUUAAGCCUUUUACGUGCAACUGUGAUUAAUAAUUUUAUUUUGUAUCAGAAUACAAACAGUAAUAACAGGAAGGGACAAGUAGCUCUUCUCCACUCUCAUGUUAUGAUUGCCUAAAAUCUUUGGAAACACACAGGAAGCAGCAGGUUAUGUGGCUGUAUUUGCAGCUGAGGCUCUGGCAGGAAGCAUAAAAGGCACACGGCUCCGUUAUUCUGCUUGUGUGAGUGGCGUUCCCUGGAAAAAAUAAACAGGCUCUGCCGUCUGCAGUUUGCAAAGAGCAGCCGAGGAUAGCAAAACAAACUUCCAAGGUGGCCAGCCAGGACCGGCCAAAGGGGCUGGAGGGGAGGAAACACUUAGUAAAAUCUUUGCAGAACUUGCAGAAAUGUCAAGGUGACAGCGUUCCUUUUAUUGACGAACACUGUUACCUUCAGCUGCUUCCUCUUUGCGAACAGGGCUCCAGGCAGGGCUUUUCUUUCUCUUCCAGUGAUGACGACUUCUGCAUUUUCAUUGGUCUGCUUGCGUCUGCCUUCCUUUCCUGUGGAAAUAGAAGAUAUGGGCAGGAGAAAAGACAUAUUUGUGAGGCUUAAUCAAUUUUCUGUGAGAUGGAAGCUGAAUGCAGUGGUGAACAGAAGCUGGUAUGUGUUUUUGAAGCUGAAUGCAGAAUUGCAAGCUUUUUUUUUCCCCUACAGUUUUCUCAAAUCAUAUUUCAUUGCUCGUGGAUUCUUAUUAGUAGAUUCUCAGUUAAUAUCCUCAGUCUCCUCCAACAUUUAGGAAGCUUGAACGUGUCCUAUGUCCUGUUGCCAUAAGCUGCAUUUAGUCUGAUGAGUGACUCUAUUACAAUAUAAAAACUUAAAGGAGUGGUUAGCAUGCAGACAUUUUGCAUUCGUAUUUAAUAAUGUUGUUUAUAAUACUGAAAUAAUAGCUGUUUCCACAGUUUUGAAUGCCAAAAGUGGUUAUUCAGAUAUCUAAUCUAACCUCCUAUAUAAUGCAGCCUAUAGAACUGGGUUGUUUGGCUAACAAACAGUGGACUUUUACAGCACAAUCAAUUAACUGUCUGCAGCUGCGAAGUUACAUAAAACAGCUUUUCUCCUUCCUCCUCCAGUGGACUGAGGAAGAAACUGUAGUCUAGAAGUUGCUUUGUAAGAAUACUGUUUAGAGUAUGAGUAGAACAGACAGAAAUACGAGAAAAGCUCUGAGACUGCCAAAAAUCUCAUUUUUUGGAAGAGCAGCCCUAGGGCUUUUAGAAAUGCUAUUUAAAUGAGAUAAUUUCUGUCUCACUAGAAAAUAAAUAUUCCCUGACAUUAAAAAUAUUUGCGGAC
ensembl:lncRNA